AGAGUUUGAUCAUGGCUCAGAACGAACGCUGGCGGCGUACUUAACACAUGCAAGUCGGACGAGAAAGGAGACUUCGGUCUCUGAGUACAGUGGCGCACGGGUGCGUAACACGUAAGCAAUCUACCACGAACUCUGGGAUAACCCUCCGAAAGGAGGGCUAAUACUGGAUAGAGUCCCCGAGGUGUAGGCUGCGGGGGGAAAACGGGCCUCUGUUUCAUGCUCGUGGUUUGGGAUGAGCUUGCGGCCCAUUAGCUUGUUGGCAGGGUAACGGCCUACCAAGGCUACGAUGGGUAGCUGGUCUGAGAGGAUGAUCAGCCACACUGGCACUGAGACACGGGCCAGACUCCUACGGGAGGCAGCAGUGGGGAAUUUUGCGCAAUGGGCGAAAGCCUGACGCAGUAACGCCGCGUGGAGGAUGAAGGCCUUCGGGUCGUAAACUCCUGUCAGGGGGAACGACGGAGCGAGGAUGAUAAAUCCUUGCUUCCAGACGGUACCUCCAAAGGAAGCCCCGGCUAAUUCCGUGCCAGCAGCCGCGGUAAUACGGAAGGGGCAAGCGUUGUUCGGAAUCAUUGGGCGUAAGGGGCGCGUAGGUGGUUCUGUAUGUCUAUCGUGAAAGCGUACGGCUCAACCGUAUUUUGUCGGUAGAAACUGCAGGACUUGAGGCUGGGAGGGGCUGGUGGAAUUCCCUGUGUAGCGGUGAAAUGCGUAGAGAUGGGGGAGAACACUCGUGGCGAAGGCGGCCAGCUAGACCAGUUCUGACACUGAGGCGCGAAAGCGUGGGGAGCAAACAGGAUAGAUACCCUGGUAGUCCCGCCGUAAACGAUGUCGAUUUGGAGGCUGUGUCCUUGAGACGUGGCUUCCGGA
rnacentral:rRNA from 1 species